CAGCCGCCGCGGUAAUACGGAGGGCGCGAGCGUUGUCCGGAUUCACUGGGCGUAAAGCGCGCGCAGGCGGUCCUUUAAGUCUGAUGUGAAAGCCCACGGCUCAACCGUGGAGGGUCAUUGGAAACUGGGGGACUUGAGUGCAGGAGAGGAGAGCGGAAUUCCACGUGUAGCGGUGAAAUGCGUAGAGAUGUGGAGGAACACCAGUGGCGAAGGCGGCUCUCUGGCCUGUAACUGACGCUGAGGCGCGAAAGCGUGGGGAGCAAACAGGAUUAGAUACCCUGGUAGUCCACGCCGUAAACGAUGAGUGCUAAGUGUUAGAGGGGUCACACCCUUUAGUGCUGGAGCUAACGCGAUAAGCACUCCGCCUGGGGAGUACGGCCGCAAGGCUGAAACUUAAAGGAAUUGGCGGG
rnacentral:rRNA from 1 species